ensembl:snoRNA
GUGAAGUGCACAGGGAAGGGGAGGAAGCUCAGUUAAAAAGAGUCGGGAGAAAGGGCUCCUCUGCCCAUGACACCCACCAGGAAUCUGGGGCGCUGGAGGAACGGCACGAAACUUGCAGCCUCCCCGCAAACAAAUUCCCCGCAUGU